GAGAUGGUGGCCGAGUGGUUAAGGCGGUAGCCUAGAAAGCUACUCUCGUCAGAGUCGCAGGUUCGAGACCUGUCCAUGUCG
rnacentral:tRNA from 1 species